GCCAACAUGGCAUAGUGGUUUGAGUGCUGGACUGCAACUCUGGAGAUCAGGGUUCAAUUCCCCACUCGGCC
rnacentral:tRNA from 1 species